rnacentral:rRNA from 1 species
AUGUACCUGAGGCGCGGCUGGGAGCAGUUUGCCCAUGCACAUGAUCUGCGGCUCGGGCACUUCCUCGUCUUAAGCUAUGACGACCGCCGCCACGCCGUGCUCACCGUGAAGGUGUUCGAUGGAAGCAUGUGUCGCAGGCACUAUCAGCAUGGCGAUGUUGUUGAGAAUCCAUCUGCAGAUGAGUCGGUGCAGUUGAAUGAUCUUCAGAUGCCCUCGAAGGACUAUUUCUUAUCAGGGAAAUGUGAUCUUACAGUAGCACAGACGGCAAAAAUACAUGAAUUAGUCAAUGAAAUUCAACCUAAAAUUCCAGUGUUUAUUGUACAGAUAAAGAAGAGCAAUAUAAACCGGCGUGGUACUCUGGGGAUAUCUAAGGAAUAUGCUCUCAAAUACUUUCCAUGUGAAGAUACAAAUAUCAUUCUCCAGUUGCCUAGGAAAAACAAGGCUUGGAAAUGCAUAUUGCAUAUCAGGCCAUCCGGCAUAUGUAAUCCAGGUCGGCGCAGCCUUAAUUGGGGCCCCUUUGCUUGUGACAAUGAUGUGAGGGAGGGUGAUAUCUUCCUCUUUCAACCAAUGACAAAUGUGAAGCAGAGAAGAUUCCUAGUGACCGUACAUCUAAUUCACACUGCGACCCGUGAUCAUUCUCCUUCUGGAAGAACCUUCAUUGGCACAAAUCGCGGAACUACAAGUGCCAAGAUGGGCGGUGUGAAGGAGGAACCACCCACCAAUGGUGACGAGUACUCUUCGGAACAUGGAGAGCAUGAAGUCUCUGAGGAUUCCGAGCGAGCUUCUGAGCCUCUCUUCAUCCUGGCUGACAGAGCUUCUCUAACACCAGCACAGAAUAUGAAAUGUCUGGAGAAAGUUGAGGAGAUUAAGUUCAAACCGCCCUUUUAUGUUGCUAUCAUGAGCAAAAGCAGUGUGUGUCAGCGUGGCAGCCGAUGUUCUGCGAAGCUACACUUUGGCUCUCAGUACGCGGCCACAUAUCUAGUCCAGAAGUUUGCUGCUGGCCUUCAUCAUGGAGAGAAUAGUCCAAUCAAUUUGGUGCUUCAGCGGGAGGGGAAGAGCAGAUCAUGGCCUACCAAGCUGCAAUGUAAGUAUCGCAUGCGAGACACGAGCAAUCAUAUGACCUAUCUCAAUGGAUGGCCGUCUUUUGCCCGCGACAACCACCUGCGGGAGGGGGACAUCUGUCUCUUCAAGCUGAUGGAUAGUGAGGAGCAGCUGAGUAUGAUGGUCUACAUCGUCCGCCACUAG